rnacentral:lncRNA from 1 species
GGGAGGGCCUUUUUUUAAGUUAGAAAAUUAAGUUAUAUUUUUAUGAUAGAUUUUUAAUUUUGAUUGUUAAGUCAGAAAAUUAAGUUAUAUUUUUAAGUUAGAUUUUUUAGUUAGAUUGUUAAGUUUGAUUUUUAAGUUAGAUUUUUAAGUUAGAUUUUUUUAAGUUAGAUUUUUGUAUAUGUGUCCCCUCCGCCGUCCCACCGCCGUGACCGCCGCCGUCACAACCUAGUAGGCACCGCCCGUGGUUCCGGGGAACCGUCCCCGCCUCCGCCGUACCGCUGCCCUGACCGCCGCCGUCACAACCUAGGCACCGCCCGUGGUUCCGGGGAACCGUCCCCGCCUCCGCCGUACCACCGCCCUGACCACUGCCGUCACAACCUAGGCACCACAUGUGGUUAUUGCUAGAAAUUCGUAGAAAUUUUUAGAAAUUUGUAGAAAUUUGUAGAAAUUCAUAACAAUUCGUAGAAAUUUGUAGAAAUUUGUAGAAAUUCGUAGAAAUUUGUAGAAAUUCGUAGAAAUUCGUAGAAAUUUUUAGAAAUUUGUAUAAAUAUUCCGAACUUUGUAGGAUUCAUGUUAUUUUAUGAUUUCAUUAUAUACAUGUAUGAUUCCGG